AUACGGAGGGUGCGAGCGUUGUCCGGAAUUACUGGGCGUAAAGAGCUCGUAGGUGGUUUGUCGCGUCGUCUGUGAAAUUCCGGGGCUUAACUCCGGGCGUGCAGGCGAUACGGGCAUAACUUGAGUACUGUAGGGGAGACUGGAAUUCCUGGUGUAGCGGUGAAAUGCGCAGAUAUCAGGAGGAACACCGGUGGCGAAGGGGGGUCUCUGGGCAGUAACUGACGCUGAGGAGCGAAAGCAUGGGUAGCGAACAGGAUUAGAUACCCUGGUAGUCCAUGCCGUAAACGGUGGGCGCUAGGUGUAGGGGUCUUCCACGACUUCUGUGCCGUAGCUAACGCAUUAAGCGCCCCGCCUGGGGAGUACGGCCGCAAGGCUAAAACUCAAAGGAAUUGACGGGG
rnacentral:rRNA from 1 species